CCACUGAUGAGGCGCCAACAGACAGUUCAGGCACUUCUGGUUCUGGUUCUAACUUCACUGUUUGUGUCGGACUACAGCCUUGGUAGCCUCAUAAAUCGGUCAAAUCCACUCGGUCAUACGCCUGGAUUAGUUCAACACACGUUUUGGGUAAAAAUCAAAUGAAUUUUGAGUGGAACUUCAACUCGACGUCAACGAUCUUGACAACUUGAUAUUUUUCGAAGCGCAGCGCGCACACGUUCUCAUAAUUAGUCGGGUUCCUUCAACUGUGGUAAUUGAUCGUACCAUUAUUGGUAAGUGGUUAGGGGAACCCGACAAACAGGCGCCAAGGAUAGGAUUGGAACAAUUUGGCCAGAAGCACGUCAGGGAGGAGUCCAACCUGCAGACAGGCUUUGAAAUUUCUUUUUGGAUACUGGGAGAAGUUUUACAAAUUUGUCACCGAGUUCUAUUGGAGAAGAAGGAGCAAAAAUAGACGUCAGUCACUCAAGGCCACUGCAUGCACUGGCCAUGCAACGGAGGAGGCCAACCUGGGCUAUCUUUUUGAAAGGCAUUUAAGGACAGUUCAUCCUCACAGCUUCAUCUUCCAGGGCUGGAUCUUACAGAUGAUCAAUUAAUGGUCUUUGUGUCUUAUGCACAGAGUUAUCGGUGCAGCACAAAACAGCAAGGAUUUCGCCGAGGCAUUCAACUGCCCUGUCAACAGCUUAGAUCCUGGCCAAGAAAUCUGAAGUUUGGUAAUAUCCCCAAAACAAAUGAUUUGAUCCAUCAAAAUUUAAUACUAAAGACUAUAUUUAUACUAGGUAUCAUGAUUAAUAACGCAAUACAUAUACAUAUAAAUGACAUACAUAAAGUGAUUUUUUAGAAGUUCUAAAUCAAUAUAAACCAAAAGGGAAAAUGUCAAGGUAAAUUUUUAAAUGAGUUUUUGGGUUGAACAAACAAUUGACUAUAGCGCGACUCGAACCGACCUCCGGAUUAACGUGCCGGCGCUCUACCAACUGAGCUAUGUAGUUCUAUGUUGGCGGUGUCCCUAUUUUAUCAAAAUAGGAACACCAGCUCAGUCGAUUGAGCGCCGGAACGUUAAUCCAGAGGUCGUUGGUUCGAAUCCCACUCUAGUCAAUUCUUUGUUCAAUCAUAAGAAUUUGUUAAUAACUGACAAUCUCUCUUGUAUUUUUAAACUAAUGAGUCAAUUUACAGUAGGAAGGGAAGAAACAAGUAUAUGCAAUAAUAAGAUUCAUUUGUUCUGACUUCCCAUACCAAAAUCAGACAGCUCUCAGAGUUUUUUUUUUGUAUAAUAUGAAAGGAUUAUCUGUAUCAUUUUUGUGUAGGCCUACUACUUGGAUGCUGACUCCCUGGAUUAUGAAGUAAGUGAAUUUCUAUAUUUUUAUAUUAUUUUAAAGUGUAAACAAAGAUGUGUUCAUGGGGUAUAGUUGCCAUUUACACAGCAAAACUGACUUUUAAAUUUGAAAAAUUGUGGGUUUGUUUUCGUACAAAUUAUGUAGAUAUAUAGUGGCUUUUGAUAUAGUCACGCAGUGACACUCAUGAUGCUUGAACAGUUUUGUUUACCCCUGGUCACUGGGCCAAAUGUUUCAUUCGUUAGACUGGCUCUGCUCCCUGUGGAGUCAGUACAGCCUGUCUUGCCACUAUGAGUGCAUCAAGCUUACUCAGUCACAACAACCAUCUCUGCCCUCACCCAUAUCAAUUUACUCCUGGGUAAAGAGAGGCAAUUAUGGUUAAUUAUCUUCAAGUACGCGCUAAUCCUCCAAUCAGAUUCGCAGAAUGGAGUGGUGAUAAAAACCUAUAAUGCACG